UGCAUUUAAGAGGUUUUUCUUUUUAAUUUGUACAAAUCUCCUUAGAAGGAAUAUAAUUUUGCAGAUGAUUUGUGGUUCUCUCUCGUUGAGCAACAAAAGUUGCCGAUAUGAGCUCAAGCUUUGCUGUAA